CCCCGGGGUGUAGUGUAUCGUGAGUCUUCAUUCAGAGUAGUUUAAUUUCGCGACGCAGCCGUCUACUUGGGCAGUCGUUUUGCGCAUGAGAAACAUGGCACAAGGAGAUUCCUUAGUCUUUUCGAAAAGCCUCCAUAUUCAUGGAGUAAUCCUCGCAGUGUUGAUGGCGAUCGAUGUACCGAUUUUGCUAAUAAGUGGAAUUGUCACAAGAAAUGCUGAUGUUGAUCGUGUGAACAAGAUACAUCCUUACGACUUUCCCACUGAUAGUUUCCGCAGCCCGUUGGCAUCGAUUCUUUUGUUCCAUGGCGUAGUGUUCUUCUACUUUUCUCUCUUUUAUUGGAUCGGAUUCGCAAAGCGCAUAAGAUGGUGCCUGACGGUGUGUCUCGUUUACUCUUACUGUAAAAUGGCACUCCCCAUAGUACUGCUCUUCAGAGCUUGUUUUGGUUUCAGCAUAAUAUAUUUUCUAUUGGCUGUGCUAGGUGCAGGCAAGUAUUGUAUCCAAACGUACAAGAUUCGGAUCAUCCAUCGUUUGCGAUCGUCCUGCGGCCCCAGUACGGAGGAAUUUGCUUUUAACGAGUUCACUCCGGAAAGAGUUUGAUGAGCAUCGGAAGCUGCGUGGCUGACGCAUGAGUAGAAAUCUAUUGUUUCAAAUGAAAAAAGUCUUGCGCCCUUACAAGCGGAAUGUGAAGUAUUUCUGUAUCAAUUCAAAUAAAAAAUAUUGCCUAAGUGCAA